CUCUUAUUCAGAGUGAUGGAGAUACAAAGGAUCUGUGAAGUCACGGCAACCCCGUUAUGAUAGCAAUAUCUACAGGAAGGUGCCAACCUGAGCGAAUAAUUCGAACAAUAAGAG
rnacentral:ncRNA from 2 species